rnacentral:rRNA from 1 species
GACGAACGCUGGCGGCGUGCCUAAUACAUGCAAGUCGAACGCUGAAGGAGGAGCUUGCUUCUCCGGAUGAGUUGCGAACGGGUGAGUAACGCGUAGGUAACCUGCCUGGUAGCGGGGGAUAACUAUUGGAAACGAUAGCUAAUACCGCAUAAGAGUAGAUGUCGCAUGACAUUUGCUUAAAAGGUGCAACUGCACCACUACCAGAUGGACCUGCGUUGUAUUAGCUAGUUGGUGAGGUAACGGCUCACCAAGGCAACGAUACAUAGCCGACCUGAGAGGGUGAUCGGCCACACUGGGACUGAGACACGGCCCAGACUCCUACGGGAGGCAGCAGUAGGGAAUCUUCGGCAAUGGACGGAAGUCUGACCGAGCAACGCCGCGUGAGUGAAGAAGGUUGUCGGAUCGUAAAGCUCUGUUGUAAGAGAAGAACGAGUGUGAGAGUGGAAAGUUCACACUGUGACGGUAGCUUACCAGAAAGGGACGGCUAACUACGUG